GCCGCGGUAGCUCAUUGGUAGAGCGUCGCCCUGAAGAGGCGAGCGUAGUCAGUUCGAUUCUGACCCGCGGCACCA
rnacentral:tRNA from 1 species